rnacentral:lncRNA from 15 species
AUGGACUAUGAGGAGGAGACUUACACCCUAACCCUCGUCCCUGUCCGGCCUCCAAGCACCGCCUCAGCAUCUCCCUCUCAAAAAACCAUGACUGAAAGUGUGUCUGUACAGUGCUCCUGCUCUCCCACACCUACUAUCUCCCUGAGCAGUGCAACAGGUGAAGGGAAGAAAAAGAGGAAGAGAGGCUUCCCAAAAUGUUAGAAGCAAAAAAUAUUUCACUACAAUGAAAUAAAAGAAACAACUAAAGGAGGUAAGAUGUAACUGAGUGAGUGAAAUAGCAGUUCAUUUAACAGUGGUUGCUGGAAUGGCUAACACUUCUUUUUGUCUGUGUGUGUGUUUGUGUGUGUUUCUGUGUGUGUGUGUGUGUGUGUGUGUGUGUGUGUGUGUGUGUGUGUGUGUGUGUGUGUAUGUGUGUGUGUGUGUGUGUUUCUGUGUGUUCCUUCCACACUGGUUAGUAGCAGGCUUCUGAAAAACCGAUCCUAAGUCAUUUGUUGUUCUAUGAUACCCUAUUGAUAUAAACUAAUAUUGUGGUAUAUGCAAUGAUCUUACACUUGUUUACAUUCAAUCUUUUUUGCCUGCCAGCAACUUUAUAGGCUCCAAUUAAUGUUUUUGUUUGUGUGUCUUUAAGACACCUGUAUGUUGAAUGUUGUUCUCUCUCUCUCUCUCUCUCUCUCUCUCUCUCUCUCUCUGUGCAUGAAUAAAAAUAAAGAUUUGUUCAUUUGUUUUAUUUCAGUUCAGUUUGUUUGCCUUUUUCAUUACGUUUUGAAUAAAUGUUUCUU